GAAGAAGAGGGAAGAGAUAUAUCUUAUAUAAUUGUACUUUCCUUUAAAGUUACGCCGGCUGGUAAGAAUUAGGAGGAGGCAAGAGGACUGAUGAGGAAGACGAAGAGACAAAACAAGUAGUUAGGUAGAUACAUUAGAUUGCUGAAUAGAUUAAAAUAACCUUAAAUUCCACAUAUCAAAGUGCGUAAACAAGUGUCCGAUUCAUACAUAGGCAACAUAUUGAACCCCGUUCUAAUGAACUAAUUAAAAGAAUCCCAGGUCCAAACUGGAUGAAGCGAGGAGCUUACGAAAGAGACAUGGAGAUGUACAUUGUAGAAUGAAUUAAAGAAAAAGAAAUGCAUGGUUGAGGCAAAGGAGCAAAAAGUGAAUAAUCCAGUGGACCUCCUGAACGAGCUUCCAGAGAACAUCUGUGUCAGUUCAGCCAAGAAGACAGAAGAAAUGUUGCCCAAUCAAAUGCUGAGUGGAAUUCCAGAGGUGGAUAGAGUAAGCUGGGGAUAGAUGCUAAGAUAAAAAACAGCACAGAAGAAGUCAAAGCAAAGCAGCUCUCUGAGCAGAGGAAUAAGACAACAUCACCUCCUUUGUUCCCAAUAACAUUGCUGUGAAUUAUGUCCAGCACAAUCGCUGUGUGCUCAGAUACACCAGAAGAGAACUUCCAGCACUUGUUUUAUAUUUUUUUACUCUUAGUUUUAUUGCUUUAUUUUGAAGCUCAAUUCACUUGUAUUCCUCUGCUGUCGGUUUUAUUAAUACUGUUAUUGACUCUUAAUAUGCUUAUAACUAUGUGUGUAUGGAUAUAUGUUUUUGAGGAUGAGAAGUUUGUAUACCAAGAACAGAAAAGUUUUAUAUUCAGAAGGAUCAGUCAUGAUAUUUUUUUUUUCAUGAAUAAUGUAAUUAAUCAAAUCUAAUUUAAGUCAAAGCCUUGAGUUACAGCACUAACUUCCACCCAUUUGUUUAAUCUCUAGACAAUGUCUAACCCUUAAGUUUGUAGAUUACUUAGCAAAACACUACACAAGUUUAAGACUUAAGGCAAAAAUUACCUCUUCUAAUGCACUGUUUAUAUUCAGCUGCCUACUUAUUGCAUUUAAAAUGGCCUUAUUUGCUAUCUUUCAGUUAGUUAAAUCUCUAAGGGAGAAGCCCACCACCAUUCUGAGGAAACCCAUUUUGGCCGCUUGUACUUGCGACCUUGUUCUUUCAGUCAUGACCCAGCCUUCAUGACCAUACGUAGGAACGAAAACUGACCGGUAGAUUGAGAGCUUUGCCUUCAGGCUCAGCUCUCUUUCCGUGACAACAGUACGAUAGACAGUGCAAUUCCGCCCCCAAUUCUCCGGCCAAACUCUGGCUCCAUUGUCCCCUCAUUCAUGAACAAGUCCCUGAGGUACUUGACCUCCUUCCCUACCUGGAGUACGCACUCCAUCAGUUUCCUGCUCAGAAAGAAAAAUGUAUUUGUGUACACACACACACACACACACACAGAGCUGUGGCCAAAAGUAUUGGCAGUGACAUAAAUUUUGUUUCGCAAAGUUUGCUGCUUCAGUAUUUAUAGAUUAUUUUUUCACAUGUUCCUAUGGUAUACUGGAAAACAAUGAUAAGCGUUUAAUAUGUUUUAAAGGCUUUUAUUGGUAAAAACAUUCAAUAUAUGCAAAGAGUCGAUUUACAGUAUUGACCCUUGUUUUCAUAACCUCUGCAAUUCGCUCUUGCAUGCUGGAUAUCAGCUUCUGGGCCAAAUUCUGACUGAUGGCGAUCCAUUCUCGCCUUAUUAGUGCUCAGAGUUGAUCACAAAUUGUGGGCUUCUUCUUGUCCACUCGCCUUUUGAGGAUUGACCACAGAUUCUCUAUGGGAUUAAGAUCCAGGUAUUUGCCUGGCCACAGAGCCAAAAUGUCAAUGUAAUGAUCUCCGAGCCACUUCAUUAUCAUUCUUGCCUUGUGACAUGGUGCUCCAUCAUGCUGGAAAAUGCACAGAUCAUCACCAAAUUGCUCCUGGAUCGUUGGGAGAAGUUACUC